UCCCCGGUUGCUCUGCUGGCACGGGCGGCCAGAUUUUGAUUCUGGAGGUCGCAGGUUCGAUUCCUGCCCGGGGAG
rnacentral:tRNA from 1 species